UUAAAUUGAAGAGUUUGAUCAUGGCUCAGAUUGAACGCUGGCGGCAGGCCUAACACAUGCAAGUCGAACGGUAACAGGAAGAAGCUUGCUUCUUUGCUGACGAGUGGCGGACGGGUGAGUAA
rnacentral:rRNA from 2 species